rnacentral:tRNA from 1 species
UGUUGCUAUGGUGAAAUAGGUAGACACACAGGCUUGAGGGGUCUGCGGAAACAUUCCAUCUCGGUUCAAGUCCGGGUAGCAACAA